AUAGAGAAAAAAAUUGGUUCAAAACUUCCUGUAAGCCACUUGUCUGUGUGAGCACAAACAUUUUUCAUUAUCGCUAGUGUUUUUAUCUAUAAAACACAAAUCAUAUGAAGUCUCUUCAAUGAGAUGCUAAAAUGUGAUAAUGUGGGAACAACUGCAAGGCAAUAGUUAAUAGAAGUUUGGGGAUCAAACGACAUUGACAUGAAUUGUAACUCUAAUUUUCUUGCUGUGAAACCUAGGGCAAUUAGCUUAACUUGCUUGUAUCUUAGUUUCUUACCUGCAAAAUCACUAUGAAAACAGUAACUACCUCACAGGGCGUUUAUGCAUGGGACUUAGUGAUAUGGUCCAGCUUUGUGUCCCUACCCAAAUUUCAUCUUGAACUGUAAUCCCUAUAAUCCCCACAUGUCAAGAGAGAGACCAGGUGGAGGUAAUUUUUUCAUGGAGCACUUUCCCCCAUGCUCUUCUUAUAAUAGUGAGUGUGUUCUAGGAGUUCUGAUAGUUUUAUAAGGGGUGAUUUCUGCUUUACUCAACCCUUCUCCUUCUUGUCACCUUGGGAAGAAGUGCUUUGCUUCCCCUUCACCUCCUGCCAUGAUUGUAAGUUUCCUGAGGCCUCCCAGACCUGCUGAACUGAUCUACAUCAAUGACAAGCAAAAGAAGAAGGGGAAAGAGGAGAAGAAGGAAAAGGAGGAUGAGAAGAAGAGAAGGAGGAGUAACGGAAGGAGGAGAGAGAUGAGAAGGAAAAGGAAAAGACAACAGAAGAAAGGAAAAAGAAUAGCACAUGCAAAAUUAUUAAUUUGGGGAAGAAUUCAAAAAGAAAAGAAACAGCACUAUUUAUUUAAUACCGAAUCUGUCACUCCCUAGGCAAAGAAGAAAGACAAGCUCCCAGGAGCCAGAUUAAGUUCCCAAAUCAUUAGCAAGAUACAGGGGUGGGAGAGGGGAAUCCCAG
rnacentral:lncRNA from 13 species